GUGAGGUUGUGGCAUCAACUGUCCUGAGCUAUCCUGAAAGCUUUGUUCGCACGCGGAGCCUAAAAUUAUGUAAACAGCGAAUAGAUUUGAACAAUCUCAAAAUAAAAGGACAGUUUCGGAGCGCAUAUUAAUACAAGUCCAUUAAUAGGGGUAGGUUUGCGCUUAGAAAGAGCUCUUUUCAAGAUACCAUAACCUCAGUAGUGCACAGGUGAAACAUCAGGAACUUUGCAGAAAUAUAUUGAAAAAGAAUUGGAAUAGUUAACUUCUACAUAUGAACAUGAAGAUGUAAAAAGGAGCUAUGUGACAAAGGACAAAUAUUACAGGAGCAACAAAAAACUAUCCCGUUCCUCACAAGAGUGU